GACGUAGGGCGCGAGCGUUGUCCGGAUUUAUUGGGCGUAAAGAGCUCGUAGGCGGCUUGUUGCGUCAGCUGUGAAAAACCCGCAGCUCAACUGUGGGCUUGCAGCUGAUACGGGGCAGGCUUGAGUUGGUAGGGGGAGACUGGAAAUUCCUGGUGUAGCGGUGAAAAUGCGCAGAUAUCAGGAGGAACACCGGGUGGCGAAGGCG
rnacentral:rRNA from 1 species